GCGUCUUUAGUGUAGUGGAAACACGAUUGUCUCCAAAACAAUAAUCAAAGGUUCGAUUCCUUUAAAGCGUG
rnacentral:tRNA from 1 species